AUUGAACGCUGGCGGCAGGCCUAACACAUGCAAGUCGAACGAGUGGCGGACGGGUGAGUAAUGUCUGGGAAACUGCCUGAUGGAGGGGGAUAACUACUGGAAACGGUAGAUAAUACCGCAUACCAUCGGAUGUGCCCAUAUGGGAUUAGCUAGUAGGUGGGGUAAAGGCUCACCUAGGCGACGAUCUCUAGCUGGUCUGAGAGGAUGACCGGCCACACUGGGACUGAGACACGGUCCAGACUCCUACGGGAGGCAGCAGUGGGGAAUAUUGCACAAUGGGCGCAAGUCUGAUACAGCCAUGCCGCGUGUAUGAAGAAGGCCUUAGGGUUGUAAAGUACUUUCAGCGGGGAGGCGUUACCCGCAGAAGAAGCACCGGCUAACUCCGUGCCAGCAGCCGCGGUAAUUC
rnacentral:rRNA from 1 species